GUAGAGCUCGUCGAUACGAUCUCGUGCAUAUGUGGAACGCAAAAAUCGGAGUUCGUAUGAGAAAGUUAUGAUCAAUUGAAAUUUGGGGAAAUUUCUAUAAAUAGCAAAAAAAUCCCGAAAAUGGAAAUUGUCUGCAGAUUUUUCUCUCCCGAGCUCGGCUACUGUAGCCAUUUCGCCUCCUUCAUUCUUCCUCCUCCGUCCACAAUAGGUCGAAUUGUUGAGUGGGUUUUGUUCACCACACUCCCACCUACACGUCUGUGGAAGCCUUUUAUCAUGGGAAGCACUGUGGAGGCCGUUGCAACCCCGGGAAGUUGCUCCGCCGAGCUAAAAACGCCCAAAAUCGCCGACCUUGGUUCUCCCAAUUCCGGCCACCAUAGCUCGAGUUCUUUGAGGGCUUUUCUAGCCCAGAGGCCGUAGAUGCUUCCCUCCAAGCGGCUUGCAACGAUUUCACCUGUGGAGCUCGAAUUUUGAAGAUUGGGAAACUAGGGUUCUUCGGGUUUCAAAACUUGCGAGGUGAUUGACGGUCUCCCUUGGGUGAAUGAUUUCGGUGUGUAUUGUGUUAAAUUGAAGACGCAGCGGGAAUAUCGAGCGGGUAAUCCUACAGGUCAGGUGAAUCGGGAAGGUGAUCGAGCUGCUUAGAGAAAUUGCAUUGGGUAAAUCUGGAUUUAUAUUGUGAGGUUUGUUAUGCUCUUUUGAGUAUUGUAAAUUAAGUGUGAGAGUGUGAUGUAAUAAGUAAAUUGAAGAUUGGUUUUUGUAUUAUUGAGAGGUGUGAAGUGUGGUUGUUUGUGAGAAAAAAAUUCAGGACGUUAUUUGUAUUGAUGUUAAUCAUGUUUCGGACUUUGAAUCCUUUAUUCAAAAUUCGGGGCGUGACAGUUUGGUAU